rnacentral:rRNA from 1 species
AGCUGAGUUUGAUCCUGGCUCAGAUUGAACGCUGGCGGCAUGCCUUACACAUGCAAGUCGAACGGCAGCACGGGAGCAAUCCUGGUGGCGAGUGGCGGAACGGGUGAGUAAUAUAUCGGAACGUGCCCAGUCGUGGGGGAUAACGCAGCGAAAGCUGUGCUAAUACCGCAUACGAUCUCUGGAUGAAAGCGGGGGACUCGCAAGAGCCCUCGCGCGAUUGGAGCGGCCGAUAUCGGAUUAGCUAGUUGGUGAGGUAAAGGCUCACCAAGGCG